ACGGCGCUCUGGCAGAGUGGUUAUUGCGUAAGACUAGAAAUCUUAUUCCUUCGGGAGCACAGGUUCGAAUCCUGUGGGCGUCGA
rnacentral:tRNA from 1 species